GCAUCUAUAGCUCAGUGGCAGAGCGGUGGGGCGUUUACCCAUGCGGCCCGGGUUCGAUCCCCGGUCGAUGCA